AGCGAACGCUGGCGGCGUGCUUAACACAUGCAAGUCGCGCGGGAAAAGAGACUUUCGGGUCUUGAGUAGAGCGGCGGACGGGUGCGUAAGACGCGGGUGACCUAUCCGAGAGGCGGGGAUAACCCAGCGAAAGCGGGGCUAAUACCGGAUGAGCCCCCAGGCGGAAACGCGCGGGGGCAAAGGAUGCUACUCGAUAGUGGCAUGUCCUCACGGAGGGGCCCACGCCUAUCAGCAGUUUGGUGUGGUAACGGCGCACCAAGGCGAAGACGGGUAGCUGGUCUGAGAGGA
rnacentral:rRNA from 1 species